rnacentral:misc_RNA from 1 species
UCCGGUUUGUCACCGGCAGUCUCCUUAGAGUGCCCAACUAAAUGAUGGCAACUAAGGACAAGGGUUGCGCUCGUUGCGGGACUUAACCCAACAUCUCACGACACGAGCUGACGACAGCCAUGCAGCACCUGUGUUUAGGCUCCUUGCGGCACCCCUACAUCUCUGUAAGGUUCCUAACAUGUCAAGACCAGGUAAGGUUCUUCGCGUUGCAUCGAAUUAAACCACAUACUCCACCGCUUGUGCGGGCCCCCGUCAAUUUCUUUGAGUUUCAACCUUGCGGCCGUACUCCCCAGGCGGAGAACUUAGCGCGUUAGCUACGACACCGAUCAGCCAAGCUGACCAACGUCUAGUUCUCAUCGUUUACAGCGUGGACUAC